GACGAACGCUGGCGGCGUGCUUAACACAUGCAAGUCGAACGGUAAGGCCCUUCGGGGUACACGAGUGGCGAACGGGUGAGUAGCACGUGGGUGAUCUGCCCUGCACUUCGGGAUAAGCCUGGGAAACUGGGUCUAAUACCGGAUAGGACUCCGGACUGCAUGGUCUGGGGUGGAAAGCUUUUGCGGUGUGGGAUGGGCCCGCGGCCUAUCAGCUUGUUGGUGGGGUGAUGGCCUACCAAGGCGACGACGGGUAGCCGGCCUGAGAGGGUGACCGGCCACACUGGGACUGAGAUACGGCCCAGACACCUACGGGAGGCAGCAGUGGGGAAUAUUGCACAAUGGGCGCAAGCCUGAUGCAGCGACGCCGCGUGAGGGAUGACGGCCUUCGGGUUGUAAACCUCUUUCAGCAUCGACGAAGCGAAAGUGACGGUAGGUGCAGAAGAAGGACCGGCCAACUCCUUGCCAGCCGCCGCCGUAA
rnacentral:rRNA from 1 species